UACGUAGGGUGCAAGCGUUGUCCGGAAUUACUGGGCGUAAAGCGUGCGCAGACGGUUGCGUAAGUCAGAUGUGAAAGCCCCGGGCUCAACCUGGGAAUUGCAUUUGAGACUGCGUAGCUAGGGUGCGGAAGAGGGAAGCGGAAUUUCCGGGUGUAGCGGUGAAAUGCGUAGAUAUCGGAAGGAACACCAGUGGCGAAAGCGGCUUCCUGGUCCAGCACCGACGUUCAGGCACGAAAGCGUGGGGAGCAAACAGG
rnacentral:rRNA from 1 species